GAUGAACGCUAGCUAUAGGCUUAACACAUGCAAGUCGAGGGGAAACGGCAUUAUGUGCUUGCACAUUUUGGACGUCGACCGGCGCACGGGUGAGUAUCGCGUAUCCAACCUGCCCUUUACUUGGGGAUACCCCGUUGAAAGACGGCCUAAUACCCGAUGUAAUUCAUUGAUGGCAUCAGAUAUGAAUAAAAGAUUUAUCGGUAAAGGAUGGGGAUGCGUCUGAUUAGCUUGUUGGUGAGGUAACGGCUCACCAAGGCGACGAUCAGUAGGGGUUCUGAGAGGAAGGUCCCCCACAUUGGAACUGAGACACGGUCCAAACUCCUACGGGAGGCAGCAGUGAGGAAUAUUGGUAAAUGGGCGCAAGCCUGAACCAGCCAAGUAGCGUGCAGGAAGACGGCCCUAUGGGUUGUAAACUGCUUUUAUACGAGAAUAAUUUGAUGCACGUGUGCGUUAUUGCAUGUAUCGUAUGAAUAAGGACCGGCUAAUUCCGUG
rnacentral:rRNA from 1 species